UACAGAGGUGGCAAGCGUUGUUCGGAAUUACUGGGCGUAAAGGGCGCGUAGGCGGCCGCCUAAGUCAGACGUGAAAUCCCAAGGCUCAACCUUGGAACUGCGUCUGAUACUGGGUGGCUUGAGUCCGGGAGAGGGAUGCGGAAUUCCAGGUGUAGCGGUGAAAUGCGUAGAGAUGUGGAGGAACACCGAUGGCGAAGGCAGCCUUCUGGGCCAAUACUGACGCUCAUGCACGAAAGCGUGGGGAGCAAACAGG
rnacentral:rRNA from 1 species